AGAGUUUGAUCAUGGACAAGUCGGAACAAGGUAAGUCGAGGUAAGGUACUAGAGUUUGAUCAUGGCCAAGUCCUAACAAGGGGAGGAGUGAUGUGGAGUGCGAGAGAGUCUGCGUUCAGGUUCGGGACAGGUACUGGGAACGGUGGCUAAUACUUAAUGAAAUUCACCGUGUAAGGUGUAUCGUCUGAAGAUGAUGUCCGGUCCUAUUCAUUAGUUGGUGAGGUAAAAGCUCACCAAGGCGACGAUCGGUAGCUGGUCUGAGAGGAUGACCAGCCACACUGGGACUGAGACACGGCCCAGACUCCUACGGGAGGCAGCAGUGGGGAAUUUUCCGCAAUGGGCGCAAGCCUGACGGAGCAAGACCGCGUGAGGGAGGAAGGCCCAAGCGGUUGUAAACCUCUUUUCUCAGGGAAGAAGAAAGUGACGGUACCUGAGGAAUCAGCCUCGGCUAACUCCGUGCCAGCAGCCGCGGUAAUACGGAGGAGGCAAGCGUUAUCCGGAAUUAUUGGGCGUAAAGCGUCCGUAGGUGGUUAUGUAAGUCUGCUGUCAAAGCACAGGGCUUAACCCUGUAAAGGCAGUGGAAACUACAAGACUCGAGUGCGGUAGGGGCAGAGGGAAUUCCCAGUGUAGCGGUGAAAUGCGUAGAGAUUGGGA
rnacentral:rRNA from 1 species